GGAGGAAGAGAAACUAACCAGGAUUCCCCCAGUAACGGCGAGUGAAGCGGGAAGAGCUCACGAUGAGAAUCCGGCGUCCCGKCCCGGGAAGCCCGAAUUGUAGUCCGCAGAGCCGAGGCCAGCCGCGGGCCGGGGUCAAGUCUCUUGGAAGAGAGCAUCGCGGAGGGUGACAAUCCCGUGCACGCCCCGGCGCCCCGCGCGCGUACGGCCCGGUUUCGACGAGUCGAGUUGCUUGGGAUUGCAGCUCCAAGCGGGUGGUAAAGCCCAUCUAAGGCUAAACACGGGGGGGAGACCGAUAGCGAACAAGUACCGUGAGGGAAAGAUGCAAAGAACUUUGAAAAGAGAGUUAAAGAGUGCCUGAAAUUGCUGAGAGGGAAGCGAAGGAAACCAGUGUCUGA
rnacentral:rRNA from 1 species